rnacentral:rRNA from 1 species
UACGGGGGGGGCAAGCGUUGUUCGGAAUUACUGGGCGUAAAGGGCUCGUAGGCGGCCAACUAAGUCGGACGUGAAAUCCCCAGGCUCAACCCGGGAACUGCGUCCGAUACUGGAUGGCUUGAAUUCGGGAGAGGGAUGCAGAAUUCCAGGUGUAGCGGUGAAAUGCGUAGAUAUCUGGAGGAAUACCGGUGGCGAAGGCGGCAUCCUGGACCGACAUUGACGCUGAGGAGCGAAAGCUAGGGGAGCAAACGGG